UAGGGAAUCUUCCGCAAUGGACGAAAGUCUGACGGAGCAACGCCGCGUGAGUGAAGAAGGAUUUCGGUUCGUAAAACUCUGUUGUUAGGGAAGAAAAAAUGUAUAGUAACUAUAUACAAAAGAGACGGUACCUAACCAGAAAGCCACGGCUAACUACGUGCCAGCAGCCGCGGUAAUACGUAGGUGGCAAGCGUUGUCCGGAAUUAUUGGGCGUAAAGCGCGCGCAGGUGGUUUAGAAAGUCUGAUGUGAAAGCCCACGGCUCAACCGUGGAGGGUCAUUGGAAACUAAUAAACUUGAGUGCAGGAGAGAAAAGUGGAAUUCCUAGUGUAGCGGUGAAAUGCGUAGAGAUUAGGAAGAAUACCGGUGGCGAAGGCGACUUGCUGGACACAAACUGACGCUGAGGAACGAAAGCGUGGGUAGCAAACAGG
rnacentral:rRNA from 1 species